rnacentral:tRNA from 1 species
GCGGUGAUCGUAUAGUGGUCAGUACAUUGCGUUGUCGCCGCAAUAACCAAGGUUCGAAUCCUGGUCACGGCA